rnacentral:lncRNA from 1 species
GGAGAGAGAAGGAUUUUUGCAGUAGCAGGGUUCCCCGGGGGAUUGCAGGAGCAGUCCCAGGGGCGGAGGAGUCUGCAGCUCGACCCUGGCAAAGAGGUGGUGAUCACGAGAAGGGCUGGCACACCAGGGGUUCUUCCUGGAAACCAUGGGGGAGCCAAGAGCACACAGGCCUGUGAGUCCAGAGCCACUUGGGAACGGUGAAGUGAUGGCCUAUCACCAUCUCCUUGAGAAGGACAUUGUGAUCCUGUGCACAAAGAGAGGGUUACGCAUGGGGAAAUUCACCAAGGCACAGUUAAUCGUGCAGUUGGAGGAGAAGCACCGCUCUGAGGAGCAGAUUCCUGGCCCAGAUGGGGCUACAAGAGGAUCUGAGAGCAGCUGGAGCAUCAGCCAGGCAUCCCCGGGAGUCUGGUCCCCAAUCAGACGAGGGUCUUCACGAUUGGGUUCCCCAUCAGGAGAUUGGAGACGGAUGGGAUGGGAGCAGAGCCCGAGAGAGCGAGAGGACCGUGAGAGAGAGCAAGAGCCCGAGGAAAAGCUGCAGGAGAAGCAGCAGCAGCGUGGACUGGUGAUGGUGGAGCAGAGAGACAUAGGGGGCUGCCCAGGGGUCAGUGGGGAAACACGCCUGCAGGGGCGAGACCCUGGGACAGAGAGAACUGUGGUGGUGCAGCCCCAGAUGCUGAGGGACUGUGGGACCUGGGUGAAGUUCCCUGGGGUGAAGCCCCUCGCCCUGCCUAUGGCCCAGAUCCCUGUGCAGACCCAGGAGGGGUCGGGCUGGCUGGUAGUUGGGGUUCUCCAGGAUAUCGGCUGGGAGGCCCUGUUGGGGGGUGACUGUCUCCCCAUGGGACAGGAUCCAGGCCCCGCUCCUGUAACGGCCGAGGGUUUGAAUUCAAAUCCAGGGAACCAAUUGGCUAGGAUGGAAAUGGUCAGUGAAAAUGCAAAUAACCUGGCUGGCAGGGGGGAGGGGCUGCUGGGCUCAGGAUACCUGCCUACCUAUAACCAGCCCCCUGGGGCUGAGUGGGAGGGAGAGAUGCUCCCCGCCCCCCUGCACACCGGAGAGGGGGCUCACGCUGGCUCUGAUGCUGUGACCAGAGCAGAGAGCUCGCUGCCUGUCCCCACUGGGACAGCAAGGGCAGCGCUGAGCACGGGGGGAGCUGAGACCCCAGCUGAGUGGGGGGACACCCGGGCAGGGCAGGUCAGCUGCCAAACAGGUUUGCCUGGUCCAGACGUGCUGCUGGGAAGUGAUUACACAGCAGGGAGGGAGCUACCAGGGACAGGGCUCAGGGGGGCUGUGACCCCAGGCCCAGCCAGCGAGAGGGAGCAGGUCCCACUCCCUGCCCCAGCAGCUGGAUCCCAGACCGAGCUGCAGAGGGAUCCCUUCUUGGAGAAGCUGAGGGAACUUGCUGGCCACAGCGCUGCAAACCCCCUCGGGGAAGGC